rnacentral:rRNA from 1 species
CCUACGGGAGGCAUCAGUAGGGAAUCUUCCACAAUGGACGAAAGUCUGAUGGAGCAACGCCGCGUGAGUGAAGAAGGGUUUCGGCUCGUAAAGCUCUGUUGGUAGUGAAGAAAGAUAGAGGUAGUAACUGGCCUUUAUUUGACGGUAAUUACUUAGAAAGUCACGGCUAACUACGUGCCAGCAGCCGCGGUAAUACGUAGGUGGCAAGCGUUGUCCGGAUUUAUUGGGCGUAAAGCGAGUGCAGGCGGUUCAAUAAGUCUGAUGUGAAAGCAUUCGGCUCAACCGGAGAAUUGCAUCAGAAACUAUUGAACUGGAGUGCAGAAGAGGAGAGUGGAACUCCAUGUGUAGCGGUGGAAUGCGUAGAUAUAUGGAAGAACACCAGUGGCGAAGGCGGCUCUCUGGUCUGCAACUGACGCUGAGACUCGAAAGCAUGGGUAGCGAACAGGAUUAGAUACCCUGGUAGUC